rnacentral:tRNA from 1 species
GCACCCGUGGCUCAAUUGGAUAGAGUACUUGACUACGGAUCAAGUGGUUGGGGGUUCGAAUCCCUCCGGGUGUA